AACGAACGCUGGCGGCAGGCCUAAUACAUGCAAGUCGAACGCCCCGCAAGGGGAGUGGCGCACGGGUGAGUAACGCGUGGGAAUGUGCCCUUAGGUGCGGAACAACGUUUGGAAACGGACGCUAAUACCGCAUAAUAUCCCCGGAUCAAAGAUUUAUCGCCUAGGGAUCAGCCCGCGUUGGAUUAGCUAGUUGGUGGGGUAACGGCCUACCAAGGCGACGAUCCAGAGCUGGUCUGAGAGGAUGAUCAGCCACACUGGGACUGAGACACGGCCCAGACUCCUACGGGAGGAAGCAGUAAGGAAUAUUGGACAAUGGAGGAAACUCUGAUCCAGCCAUGCCGCGUGAGUGAUGAAGGCCUUCGGGUUGUAAACUUCUUUUAUUAAGGACGAAAAAUGACGGUACUUAAUGAAUAAGCUCCGGCUAACUACGUGCCAGCAGCCGCAGUAACAC
rnacentral:rRNA from 1 species